AAUUAAUUUCAAGACUAAAUUUAAGUUCAAGUUUAGAUUGGAAUUAAUUCGAGUCGAGCUCGAGCGAGCCUAAUUUCGAGUCGAGCGAGCUCGAACCCUAAACGAGUCGUUUGAAAUUCUCAACAUCAUACGAUCAAUAGUUUAAUUUGUAUAGAAUGUUAUCUAUAAUUUGAUACAAAAAUAUAUCAAAUAGUUCAAAGUACAAAAUAAUUAUAUGAAAUAUAGUAUUAUACUAUAAAAAAAAGUUUUAUGAGUUGAAUAUCCAAUCUUUUUCACCUCACAUGUCUUUUCUUUCGCCUUCAAUCUCUAUAUUAUUCAUUUUCAUUUAUGCAAUCAAAAAUAAAUAAAUUAUAUAGAUAAAUAUUGAAUUAAACUAUCAAAUCAUAUAAACUAAAAUUAAAAUAUUAUAUAAAUAAUAAUUUUUUACUUUAAAAAUAUUCUGUAUAUUUUUUCAAGCAUACAAUUAAUAAGAAAAUAGGCAACGGCAGGUAUAUGCUGUUAGUUGGUAACUUAGAAGGCUUCCGGCUUGGCCACUUAGGGUGAGAGACAGAAAAAGAGAAAAAGAGAAAAAUAUUAAAAAUUUAGAGCUAUGUAAAAGAAAGGAAGAAAGAAAGAAAGGAAAAAUGUAUAAAUUUAGUAAAAUCUUGCUCUUUUAUUUGUCUAUUGAGUUUAUUUUUAUGGGCCAACAAUAUUGGCCCAAUUUUAACUAAACUCAGAUUAUUCACUCAGCCUAUAUAUAAUUAAAAUAUAAUAUAUUUAUAUAUUUUUUAAUAUAUAUAUAUAUAUAUAUAUAUAUAUAUAUAUAUAUAUAUAUAUAU
rnacentral:lncRNA from 1 species